GUUUGUUUUUGAUUUCAAGGUAUGCUGAAAGCGUGGGUUGGGAUGGUUUUAAGGAUGCUAUUUUAAAUCAAUAACUUUUUUCCUAAACUGUUAUUAUCAAUUAAUAUUUAAAUUGAUUUGCAGCAAUUCCAGGUGUCCGAGAUGGCUUAGGGGGAGGAGCAACAGUGUAUAUUAAAAACACAUUAAAGUGUCGUGAAGUGGAUAAAUCAAAAUCUCAUGAAAGUGUUAACUGGGUUUGCGUAAACAUUGGCGACUCUAAUUUAAAGGAAUUGACCGAGCUGAUCCAGAAAUCAAAAAAUGAAGCUCAAUGCUCUAAUGUACUUAGGAUAAGGGAAAAUAAUUCUUGGAUCAAUGAGGAGGUGCUAGAAAUGAUGAAAAUAUAUUUAUAUUAUAUAUAAUGUUUUUAAAUGAAAGAAGUUAAUGGAGUUUGAAAAAUGUAAACACAUGUAUAAAAUUAUAAACAAAAAAAUAAAAUGUAAUAUAACUGUUAUAUUCUCAAAUGACGUUCAUAGACACAAUACCAGAGGUCAGUUGUAGUAGAUCAGUCAAUGUACUCUGCAUGUAAAGCAUGUUAUAGGCUACCUAAUAAUUUGAGAAAUAUUCAAAAUUUUAAAACUUUUGUAAUAAAACUAAAAAAAUACUUUUCUAUUUAAUCGGAUUAAUUGUGUAGCUACUUUUUCUAAAAUUUAUUUAUAGUAAUCUACAUACAAUUUAUUUGUAUAUACCUAACUAUGAUUUUUGUGUACACUCUUUUUAAUUGUUAUUCUUAUUUCUCGAGGCCAGCACUGUUUAGAGAUUUAGUGUAAAAAAUUGUAUGUUAUAUUUUGAAGUAAUACAAAAGUGUU